AGAACGAACGCUGGCGGCAGGCUUAACACAUGCAAGUCGAACGCUCCGCAAGGGGAGUGGCAGACGGGUGAGUAACGCGUGGGAACAUACCCCUCGGUUCGGAAUAACUCAGGGAAACUUGAGCUAAUACCGGAUACGGUCGAGAGGCGAAAGAUUUAUCGCCGAGGGAUUGGCCCGCGUCCGAUUAGCUAGUUGGUGAGGUAAUGGCUCACCAAGGCGACGAUCGGUAGCUGGUCUGAGAGGAUGAUCAGCCACAUUGGGACUGAGACACGGCCCAAACUCCUACGGGAGGCAGCAGUGGGGAAUAUUGGACAAUGGGCGAAAGCCUGAUCCAGCCAUGCCGCGUGAGUGAUGACGGCCUUAGGGUUGUAAAGCACUUUUAGUGGGACAAAAGCUACGGACUAAUAUUCUGUGGUCUUGAUUUAACCCAAAGAAAAGCACCGGCUAACUCUGUGCCAGCAGCCGC
rnacentral:rRNA from 1 species